rnacentral:rRNA from 1 species
GGGUGGUAAAUUUCAUCUAAAGCUAAAUAUUGGCCGGAGACCGAUAGCGCACAAGUAGAGUGAUCGAAAGGUUAAAAGCACCUUGAAAAGGGAGUUAAACAGCACGUGAAAUUGUUGAAAGGGAAGCGCUUGCGGCCAGACUCAGGCGCAGGGUUCAGCGGGUGCGUGUCACCCGUGCACUCCCUGCCGCCUGGGCCAGCAUCAGUUCUGACGGUCGGUCAAAGGCCUCCGGAAUGUGUCGUCUCUCGGGACGUCUUAUAGCCGGGGGUGCAAUGCGGCCCGUCGGGACUGAGGAACGCGCUUCGGCUCGGAUGCUGGCAUAAUGGCCGUAAGCGGCCCGUCUUGAAAAACACGGAC